CAAGUGAAGUUGAUGAGAACCCACGUACAUGUCCUGAUCCAUGCCCAGCACAUGAAUGCUCCACUGGCGAAUGUAUUGCUAAUUUCCAAAUUUGCGAUGGCAUCAGAGAUUGUGUUAAUGGUGAAGACGAAUUAGAUUGUCCAAAUGUAUGCUCUGAAGUAGAGUUUGCAUGUCCCCAAGGUGGUUGCAUACCACUGUCGUCUCUGUGCAAUGGAGUUGAUGAUUGUCCUAGUGGUGCUGAUGAGAAUCCUUUCAGAUGUGGUAGAUGUAUACAUCAUGAAUGUAGAUCUGGAGAAUGUAUUGAAGCUCAUCAGUUUCUGUGACGGUACCAUAGAUUGUGAGAGUUCUGAAGAUGAACUCGAUUGUGGAACUGGAUGCUUAGAAUAUGAAUACACAUGUUUGUCUGGACAUUGUAUAUCCUUAUUUCGUGUUUGUGAUGGUGUACCGAAUUGUGCAACUGGUGAAGAUGAAAGUGUCGAUCUCUGUGGAUGCAAUGUCAAUCAAUUCGAAUGCGAUAAUGGGAAAUGCAUAUUGGGAGAAUACGUUUGUGAUGGUGAUCCUGACUGUCCGUAUGGCGAAGAUGAAGACGAUUGUGGUUGUGAUGAGGCUAGAGAGUUUACAUGUCCGACCACUGGUGCAUGCAUUUCAAUCAUUAAAGUUUGUGAUGGUAUAUCAGACUGUGAACAUGGCGAAGAUGAACGACUGCCAGAAUGUCUCCCAACGUUGGAACCAACUACUCCAGAACUAACCAUUGAAGAAUAUCUAGAAUUGACGAGAGAUUGGACGCCAUGGAAGAAAAAUGCAAUGAAGUGGGAGAACAUGUCGAGCAACAUCAGUCAUUAGAUGAGGAAAUGUACGGAGAACUCUUGGAAAGAAUCGAAGCCCUGGAAGAACAGCUGAAGCACUUUCGCCUCCCGCAACCAAUGAAAAUGUUACCAUCAGGUCUCCUCAACGUGUCAAGUCGCAUUUAGGAAGACUCUCCUUCCACCGCGAAGCUGCAGAUGAUUCUAGUCGCUCGGCAACUCUAGGCCGUAACCAAGAGCAUCAUGAGAAAGAAAACUCUGCUCCAUGCUAAGUUACUGUCGUUAAGAAAACUCGCCUCGACAAAGGCUAAACUUGCAAGAUGAGAUUUUAUCACCCUCUAAUGUUCGAUGUGAUUUUUUUUUAAUAGAAAAUUUAGUUUCAUAGUUUAUUUAUAAAUUAGUUUAUUAUAUUAAUUAUAAAAUAGAUGACUUGGUCACAUCGUAUCAGAAAUACUUGUAUUACAUCUAAAUUAUUUUAUAUUCCACAUUUAAUUUAUCCAGUUAAGUAAAAAUGACCGUCAGCA